AACUGUAAUCUGAUAAUUUUAGGUUACAAACAUGAAUAGUAUGGAUAAUGGAGUAUGCAGGUACCCUAGAUACAAGUUUUUAGAAAUAUACCAGACCAAGAAAGCAAGUUUUGGGGAAAGAUUAUUCUAAAAGAAUGAUUAUUUGUGAUCAUAAGCCAUUUGGAACUGAAUGAGAAUGAUUAUGUUGGGGUUUGCCAUAUUCCAAGGAUAAAGGUGAAAGUGCUUCAGAAGUUUUUGCUAGAUUGAAACGAGACUUGAUUCCUACAUAAUCACUGGUGUUAUGUACUGGCCUUUUUUUCAUUUCAUCAUAUUCAGAUUCAUUCAUGUUUGUUUGCAAGCCACUGGUGAGCAACUCGUGUACGUGCGGUUUAAAUGAACU